UGGGGUAGUUCUGAGCACGUAGACGCCAUGGAUGGCGUAUCGUGCAUGUUGCUAGUAAGAAUCCGCGGUAUCUCUUGAAGAUUUUCUAUCUCCA
rfam:Glossina palpalis gambiensis isolate 146720 unplaced genomic scaffold Scaffold330, whole genome shotgun sequence.